rnacentral:rRNA from 1 species
CCCUUAGAUGUCCUGGGCCGCACGCGCGCUACACUGAUGCAUGCAACGAGUUUAUAACCUUGGCCUGAAAGGUCUGGGUAAUCUUUUGAACGUGCAUCGUGAUAGGGAUAGAUUCUUGCAAUUGUUAAUCUUGAACGAGGAAUUCCUAGUAAACGCGAGUCAUCAGCUCGCAUUGAUUACGUCCCUGCCCUUUGUACACACCGCCCGUCGCACCUACCGAUUGAAUGGUUCGGUGAAGAUCUCGGACUUCGAUAUUUAUUCUUUAUUGAGUUUAUAUUGUGGGAAGUUAUCUAAACCUCAUCAUUUAGAGGAAGGUGAAGUCGUAACA